rnacentral:misc_RNA from 1 species
UCAAACUUGGUCAUUUAGAGGAAGUAAAAGUCGUAACAAGGUUUCCGUAGGUGAACCUGCGGAAGGAUCAUUAUCAUAAUACAAUCAAGGUGCUGAGGGCUGUCGCUGACCUUUUUGGUCGUGCACGCCCCCAGUACUCUUGUACAUCCAUCCCUCACCCCUUUGUGCAUCACCGCGUGGGCUACCUUUUGGCUUGUUCCAAAAGGGGUUCACGUUUUUACAUAGACACCUUUUAAAUGCAUGUGUAGAAUGUCUUACAUUUUUGCGGUCACACGCAAUCAAUACAACUUUCAACAACGGAUCUCUUGGCUCUCGCAUCGAUGAAGAACGCAGC